rnacentral:rRNA from 1 species
GACGAACGCUGGCGGCGUGCCUAAUACAUGCAAGUCGAGCGAGCGGAACUAACAGAUUUACUUCGGUAAUGACGUUAGGAAAGCGAGCGGCGGAUGGGUGAGUAACACGUGGGGAACCUGCCCCAUAGUCUGGGAUACCACUUGGAAACAGGUGCUAAUACCGGAUAAGAAAGCAGAUCGCAUGAUCAGCUUUUAAAAGGCGGCGUAAGCUGUCGCUAUGGGAUGGCCCCGCGGUGCAUUAGCUAGUUGGUAAGGUAAAGGCUUACCAAGGCGAUGAUGCAUAGCCGAGUUGAGAGACUGAUCGGCCACAUUGGGACUGAGACACGGCCCAAACUCCUACGGGAGGCAGCAGUAGGGAAUCUUCCACAAUGGACGCAAGUCUGAUGGAGCAACGCCGCGUGAGUGAAGAAGGUUUUCGGAUCGUAAAGCUCUGUUGUUGGUGAAGAAGGAUAGAGGUAGUAACUGGCCUUUAUUUGACGGUAAUCAACCAGAAAGUCACGGCUAACUACGUGCCAGCAGCCGCGGUAAUACGUAGGUGGCAAGCGUUGUCCGGAUUUAUUGGGCGUAAAGCGAGCGCAGGCGGAAGAAUAAGUCUGAUGUGAAGGCCCUCGGCUUAACCGAGGAACUGCAUCGGAAACUGUUUUUCUUGAGUGCAGAAGAGGAGAGUGGAACUCCAUGUGUAGCGGUGGAAUGCGUAGAUAUAUGGAAGAACACCAGUGGCGAAGGCGGCUCUCUGGUCUGCAACUGACGCUGAGGCUCGAAAGCAUGGGUAGCGAACGGGAUUAGAUACCCUGGUAGUCCAUGCCGUAAACGAUGAGUGCUAAGUGUUGGGAGGUUUCCGCCUCUCAGUGCUGCAGCUAACGCAUUAAGCACUCCGCCUGGGGAGUACGACCGCAAGGUUGAAACUCAAAGGAAUUGACGGGGGCCCGCACAAGCGGUGGAGCAUGUGGUUUAAUUCGAAGCAACGCGAAGAACCUUACCAGGUCUUGACAUCUAGUGCCAUUUGUAGAGAUACAAAGUUCCCUUCGGGGACGCUAAGACAGGUGGUGCAUGGCUGUCGUCAGCUCGUGUCGUGAGAUGUUGGGUUAAGUCCCGCAACGAGCGCAACCCUUGUUAUUAGUUGCCAGCAUUAAGUUGGGCACUCUAAUGAGACUGCCGGUGACAAACCGGAGGAAGGUGGGGAUGACGUCAAGUCAUCAUGCCCCUUAUGACCUGGGCUACACACGUGCUACAAUGGGCAGUACAACGAGAAGCGAGCCUGCGAAGGCAAGCGAAUCUCUGAAAGCUGUUCUCAGUUCGGACUGCAGUCUGCAACUCGACUGCACGAAGCUGGAAUCGCUAGUAAUCGCGGAUCAGCACGCCGCGGUGAAUACGUUCCCGGGCCU